CAAUAGCGUAUAUUAAAGUUGUUGCGGUUAAAAGCUCGUAGUUGGAUUUCUGCCUGAGGCAGCCGGUCCGCACUUAGUGCGUGUAUCUGGUUUGGUUUGGGCAUCCUCUUGGGGAUCGUUGCUGUGCUUAGUUGCAUGGUGCGGAAUUCAAGACGUUUACUUUGAGGAAAUUAGAGUGGUUACGGCAAGCUAUCGCUUUGAAUACAUUAGCAUGGAAUAAUAAUAUAGGGCGUAAGUUCUAUCUUGUUGGUUUCUAGAACAUACGCAAUGAUUAAUAGGGACAAUUGGGGGCAUUCGUAUUUAACUGUCAGAGGUGAAAUUCUUGGAUUGAUGAAAGACGAACUACUGCGAAGGCAUUUGCCAAAGAUGUUUUCAUUAAUCAAGAACGAAAGUUGGGGGCUCGAAGACGAUUAGAUACCAU
rnacentral:rRNA from 1 species